rnacentral:lncRNA from 1 species
UUAGAAUCCACUUCAUCAUCCGCUUCUGCCAUCUUUCGUUUCACCAGCUCUCCCACAUCUCUUCUUUGGUAUAAUGGCGUUCGCAACAAUUAUGAUAAGUGAUGAGAAUGACCCUUUGUAUCUAGUAGGAGUACGGUUUGUUAAUGAAGAGCAGCUGAGCAGAGUACCAAUCUUGAAGAAACCAUUUAAGUUAUCCAAACUGGUGGAGAGAGUGCUUGGUAAAGUGAGGGAUGUGAGGAUCACGAGAGGCGGGCGAGUUUAGAUUUUUUUGUGCUUCUGCGGAUUAGAGGGAACGUGCGUUGUGUCUUAACCAAUUUGAUAAGUUUGAAGUGUUGUUUGUGUCUCUUCAGAAUAGGGCAUCCCUCAAGGGGGUUAUAUCUGGCAUCUCGUGGGAAGUCGAUUUUGAAGAGAUGAAAAAUAUUCCUGGAGUGAUUGAAGCACUUCGGAUGAAUCGUGUGGUGAAUGGUGAAAAAGUGAAGAGUCUAUCUGAUCUUUUUGUUUUUUGGAGUCGCCCCUACUCAAGUGCAGUUGGGGUAUAUAAACUACAAAGAUAUGUUGCAAUUGUGGUGGGAACCAUGAAGCCACGUCUUUCGAAUGCCCCGCAAGAGUGAAAGAGAAUGAGGUGGCCAAAGUCAGGGCUGUCCAGAGCUUUUCAUAUGCAGCAGCUGUUAAAAGGGUUGAGGGUUUGAAUGGUGCACCAGAAGAGUCCAUGGUGGUGGAUAGGCCUUAACUGCAAGCUGCAGGGGUUGACUUUCACCAGCAGGAGCCAGACAUUUUAAAGGUUUAGAAGAUGGCCUAUGGUGAUAAAUGCCACUGCCAAGGUGGAGAGCAGGUCCAGGAAGAUAGAAAUCAUUGUGGAUGCGGCAGAGCGAUUCCUGGCGCUGAAAGAUUUCUUGGUGAAGGAGCUACAUGGAAUAUAUUCAAAAGCAGUACCACCCUCUCGGGCCCUACAGCCUGAGAAGGAAGAUAUGGAGAUUUGAAAGAAAGAAGGAAGAAGUGGGAGUUUUGUUUUGUCAAUGUACUCUGUUUAUUUGGGUGGAUUAAGUUCGUUUCCCAAUUACGUAUGGAUUUUCUUUGUACCUUGUUUAGGUUUCAACCUGUCCAGUUCGUGGCGGCAAUACACCUUUUUGGGUUGUAGACCACCAUAAACCCCACAGAAGCAGAAGAAGAAUACAAACAAAGAAGAUCGAUACAUCUAAACUGUCCAUUUUCAUCCCCUGGCAUAUUCAUUUGAACCUUUUCGUCAUUGUCCCUUAGUAGUACUUUCAGGUCCUUUUGCGAAGAUAAUGUAGUUGUAGACAGAUUACACUACAGGCUGAACAAUUGCGAGUGGUACACUUGUGGCAACUGCACUGUGAUGCCCACGGUCACAGUGUUAAUAUGUUGCAAAUAAGCAGCCCUACAUGACCUGGGUGCAGUGGCGGUUCUUGACCAUUUCAACUGGGGGGGCCAAGCUGGGGCCAGUUGUACUGUUAAAGGGGCCAGUUACAUUAGACGUUAUUGUUGUCAUAUCGUUUUCUUCACUGCAUUGCAGGCAUUAGCAGGCAAAAGACCAUGUUCAUAAUCAUUAGUGUUCCGAGUUGCCACUGUCUAAUGACGGAUGUAAAAAAAAAAGGAUAGCAAAAAUGUGUUAUUUUAAAAUUAUUUCAUACUCCACAUUUAGGGGGGCCACAAGGGGGUCCAAAAUUGUUGUCACAGGGGCACUGGCUAAAUGUCUUUAAGCAAUUUAAUUUAUUCCACCAAGGCUGCCUCUCGAGCUGUUCUCAUUUUAGGUAUGACGUCUCUCCCUGUAGAGUGCGCACGCGAGCACCUUUUCAAGUUCACAACUAUUGUAAAGAACUAAUGGAAACUCAGGGGGGGAAAGCGAGUUAAAAUCAUGGUCAGUGAUCUUAAGGUCGGAAAGUCUAGGAAAGUGCCAGAGUUUCCGACUUGGAAUUCCGAGUCCGAUGACAGUUCAAAAUGAUUUUUCCCAGUCAGAGCUAGUUUUUUUUGGCUAGUUUUCAGUCGUCAAAACGCACUGAAGGUGGAAGUCUGAGAUUUCAUAGUUCCCAGUUGUUUUGAACCUCGGCAUAAGUUAUUGGCGCUCCUGGCUCUUAGUACAAAACAGUGGUUCCUUUCCUGUGCGUUGAUGAACAGACCUGAGCCCUAGGACCAUGCCUCAGGACUACCUGGCAUGAUGACUCCUUGCUGUCCCCAGUCCUGGCCGUGCUGCUGCUCCAGUUUCAACUGUUCGCCUGCGGCUAUGGAACCCUGACCUGUUCACCGGACGUGCUACCUGUCCCAGACCUGCUGUUUUCAACUCUCUAGAGACAGCAGGAGCAGUAGAG